rnacentral:pre_miRNA from 1 species
AGAACGCACAUUAAUUAUCCCUAGGGCCAUGGGAUAAACAAAAACACUGAAAAACCAAGUUAGCACACCCUAAAAUGGUUCUAGCAUGAUUUUUAACUUAUGGCUCUGAUACCAGUCGGUGGGAAAAACCC